ensembl:lncRNA
CCCCUCUUCAUUAUCCACCUUCCCUGUUUCUUGUUCUGUUCCACCAGAUGCUUGUGAUCAUUUCCUGGCGGCGACUCGGCAGGGCAACAGACAGGCAGGCGACUCGGCAGGGCAACAGACAGGCAGGCGACUCGGCAGGGCAACAGACAGGCAGGCGACUCGGCAGGGCAACAGACAGGCAGGCGACUCGGCAGGGCAACAGACAGGCAGGCGACUCGGCAGGGCAACAGACAGACAGGCGACUCGGCAGGGCAACAGACAGGCAGGCGACUCGGCAGAGCAACAGACAGGCAGGCGACUCGGCAGAGCAACAGACAGGCAGGCGACUCGGCAGAGCAACAGACAGGCAGGCGACUCGGUAGAGCAACAGACAGGCAGGCGACUCGGUAGAGCAACAGACAGACAGGCGACUCGGUAGUGUCAAUUGAUUCUUUAUUUCUCCUGCAGCUGAAUUAGACACAUCAUAGGUACAUCCUCCAUCUAAUGACAUAGGAACCAUCCCAAAUAGCACCCUAGUUCCUUGACAGUAAACCAUUUCUGACCAUGGGCCCAUAGGGACACAUCACAGAGGAUAGCCGCUAUAGGACUCUGGUCUAAAGUAGUGCACUAUAUAGGGAAUAGUGUGCCAUUUGGUCACAUUGGCUACUCAGCACAUCCUUCAAUGGUAACUUAGUGUUGUAGAGCCGAAGUCGCUUCAGAGACAAAAAAAAAACUGUUAUUAUUAC